CACGGAGUUAGCCGGUGCUUAUUCGUAUAGUACCUUCAGCUACCCUCACGAGGGUAGGUUUAUCCCUAUACAAAAGAAGUUUACAACCCAUAGGGCAGUCGUCCUUCACGCGGGAUGGCUGGUUCAGGCUUGCACCCAUUGACCAAUAUUCCUCGCUGCUGCCUCCCGUAGGAGUCUGGUCCGUGUCUCAGUACCAGUGUGGGGGAUCACCCUCUCAGGCCCCCUAAAGAUCAUCGCCUUGGUGAGCCGUUACCUCACCAACUAGCUAAUCUUGCGCGUGCCCAUCUCUAUCCGCCGGAGCUUUCAAUAUCAAACGAUGCCGUUCAAUAUAUUAUGGAGUAUUAAUCUUCCUUUCGAAAGGCUAUCCCCCAGAUAAAGGCAGGUUGCACACGUGUUCCGCACCCGUACGCCGCUCUCUCAUUUCCGAAGAAACAAUACCGCUCGGCUUGCAUGUGUUAGGCCUCCCGCUAGCGUUCAUCCUGAGCCAGGAUCAAACUC
rnacentral:rRNA from 1 species